CCCGAAACCGGGCGACCUACCCAUGAGCAGGAUGAAGCGAAAGUAAAAUUUCGUGGAGGUCCGAACCCACGAGCGUUGAAAAGCUCGGGGAUGACUUGUGGGGAGCGGUGAAAUUCCAAUCGAGCCCGGAGAUAGCUGGUUCUCCCCGAAAUAGCUUUAGGGCUAGCCUCAAGGGGAGAGAUACGGAGGUAGAGCACUGAAUGUCCUAGGGGGUAUUGCACCUACCGAAGACUAUCAAACUCCGAAUGCCGUCAUCUUAUACUUGGGAGUCAGACUGUGGGUGAUAAGAUUCAUAGUCGAAAGGGCAACAGCCCAGAUCGUCAGCUAAGGUCCCUAAAUGUAAGUUAAGUGGUAAAGGAUG
rnacentral:rRNA from 1 species